rnacentral:lncRNA from 1 species
GCAUUGCCAAGCUAGUCUGGCAUGACUUUGCCUGUGACCUGUUGCCCUGAGAUGCAGCCCAGCGUAAAGCAGUCAAGUGGAGAAAGGUGAUGACCACGCUUAUUCUCUCAAGCCUUUGGACAGCCCAGUUUACCAGCAGAAGUGGCCAGAGGCACAACUCACUUCCGAAUCUGUACCACCAGGUUGGUGGCAUUAAACUGAUUAUUUUCUCUCCCCUCAGGUGCCAUCUGCUGAGCUAACAGAAACCAAUUGUUUGCUGAGUCCAACAAAGGGCAGCUCACAGCAAACUGAAAGUAUACUCAUUCUGGCAGUGCCUAAAGCACAGCCUCCAUCACCACUGCAAAGAGCAAGGCCUGAGGAUGUUACAGCCAACACACUGAGGUUUUUAGCAGCAGAAUUGCUUCUUCCCUCAAGAUUUCUGCAAAGGAACACGAGAGCAGAGAGAACAUUUUAACAAGGAGAUCUUCAACAGGUAGCUGACCAUGAAACAUGUUUGGCAGUACAGGUUUUCAGCUCUCCAGUCCUUUUUGCUAUUGGUUUGGGCAAAACUCAUCUGUGAAAAUGACAGCAUUCCUUGCAAAACUUGUGAAAAACCAAAGACUUUGCACAGGAAGGCAGAAGGGCUCAUGUUGGUGAUGGUGUCUCCAGCACUGUACCUGUAAGCCUCCAAACCCCACCUUAAGAACCUGACAUGCAAGGAAGCAGGAAACAGGGCUGCUGAAAGCAAGCACGAUGACCCAGGGCCACUGAAAGGAAGCAGGACCAGGCUGCACAGCCAGAAUCACUUCUGCAGGAUGGAGGUGAGCAACGGGGAACAAUGGGAUCAAAUGUAACAAAGGAGCAGGAGGAGAUUUGCAAAAUAAUGGAAGCAAUUUUGCAGAAGCACCACACUAAAGUGGACGGCUUUGAUUUAAGGAGACUUUUGGUGUGGGUCUCAUAACGUAGGAGUAGAUGGGGCUACGAUCUAUGACACAGAGAUGUGGGACAAAGCAGGAGUGAGGCUGUGGGAUGCAGCUGCGCGCUCUGACCCUGUGGCUGAAGACCUUUUGGGGCCCUAGAGAUCGUUUUACCCUUUAGACCCCAGGCCAGUGAGCCCGAGGAAGGAACCAGACUUGUACACGCCAAUCCAUGUGACUCUUGGCAUGCGGCCCACAAAGAAGUGGAGCAGCAGGGGGACUUCAAUGUGGUUCAGAGACUGCAUUCAGCUCUCGCCUGCCCUGUAAUUUAUGAACCUAAUAGGCACCCUAGAUGGGAGGAUAUAAGCUUUCAAAUAAUAAAAGCUCAGGAAAGCAGUCCUUGGAUUCGGGC